rnacentral:sRNA from 1 species
GCCAGCGGGUCUGGUGGCGCACACCUGUAAUCCCAGCAGUCUGGGAGGCUGAGGCAGGUGGAUUGCAAGUUCAAAGCCAGCCUCAGCAACUUAGGGAGGCACUAAGCAAUUCAGUGAGACCCUGUCUCUA